rnacentral:rRNA from 1 species
UACGUAGGCGGAAAAUGUAGUCAGUGGUGAAAUCCCGCAGCUUAACUGUGGAACUGUCAUUGAUACUGGUUUUCUUGAAUUUAGUUGAGGUAGGCGGAAUGUGUAAUGUAGCGGUGAAAUGCUUAGAUAUUACACAGAACACCGAUUGCGAAGGCAGCUUACUAAGCUAUGAUUGACGCUGAGGUACGAAAGCGUGGGGAGCGAACAGGAUUAGAUACCCUGGUAGUC